rnacentral:rRNA from 1 species
UAAACAUAGCCAGUUCACAUACCCCACUGUCCGCCCGGGUACUACGAGCAUAAGCUUAAAACCCAAAGGACUUGGCGGUGCUUUAAACCCACCUAGAGGAGCCUGUUCUAGAACCGAUAAUCCCCGUUCAACCUCACCCUUCCUUGCUCUUUCCGCCUAUAUACCACCGUCGUCAGUUUACCCUGUGAAGGUCAAACAGUAAGCACAAUCGGCAUAGCCCAAAACGUCAGGUCGAGGUGUAGCGUAUGGAGGGGGAAGAAAUGGGCUACAUUCCCUAAUACUAGGUCAUACGGAUUUUAUGAUGAAACGCAUAUCUGAAGGAGGAUUUAGCAGUAAGCGGGAAAUAGAGUGUCCCCCUGAAACCGGC